rnacentral:lncRNA from 1 species
AGCAAGAAAAAAGGAAGAAAGGGAAGAACAAAACCCUAGGUGGAAAAACUCAAGGGAAAAGUGUGAAAAUUCAAGGAAACAAGUGAAAAAAAAGGUAAGAUUUUUCAAUUAAGCUUGGGAUCUCUCUUUCUUAAGCAUUUUUUUUUUAUUUUCCAUGGUUGAAUCACAUGAUUUCAUGAUGGGUAUCUUGCUGGCUGAACACUUAGAGAGAGGUUUUGAUGCUUGAUUUGGUUAGAUUUCAAUGUAUUUUAGUGUUUUUAGUUGAUUGGUGAUGUGUAGCAUGAAAAUCAAGCAAGAAAAAUUCAUGUUCUUCCAUCACCCAUCAUUGGCCGAAUUCUCCAUGUGGAAUAUUGAGGAUGAUUUUGAUUUUAUUUCAAGUGAUUUGGUUAGGAAUUAGUGAUUUAUGGUGUGAGAUCAAGUAGGAAAAAUUAUAGUGUUGAUGCACCCACCAUGGCCGAAUUUUCCAAGUGAAAAUGUGAGGAUGAUUUUGCCAUAUUUCAAGUUGUUUAAUUUGUGUUUGAUGGUUUAGAGAAUUGGAAGAAAAAUGAAAUUAUUUGGAGUUGAAUUGGACGUAUUGGCCAAUUAAUCGGGUGAUAGAUCGAAUUAGGCCAAUACCGUUUUAUUUAGGUACACAAUUGAAUUUGUGUAGAACGCCGUGUUUAAACGAUAAUCCGAACAAUUUACAUCCCAUUUCAUGCAUUAGUAUAAAGCCUGAAUUAGUUUUAUAACAAUUUAGCAUAAAUGUAGUAAAUGGCUUAUUGUGCAUUAUGUCUAGGUGGUGAGCAUUCUGGCCAAAGUAAAGAGAUAGUCCCCAAGGAUCAAGAAUCGGAGUACUCGAAAUUCGACUCUCGAAAUAGUGAGUAACCUUACUAUCAUCUUAAUUAUCUAAAGUGGUUUUUAUCUAAUUUUGUGAUUUUAUGGAAAAUGAGUUUAAAUGGUUAAUUUUUAGGUUUUAUAAACAAAAUGUGUUUAAAUGAAAUGAUUUUAUAAAUUGUCUUGAAAUUGAAUGAUGGCUUUGAAAAUAGAGUAAUUGGAGACCAUUUGAUGUAUUGUGAAUUUAUGGUUCUAAUUGAUUGGCUUAUGGCAAUAUUGGCAUGAAUGGCUAAAUUGGUAUUUGUGUUGAAAAUGUAUAAAAUGUUGUUUACCUUGAUAGGCUGGAUUGUGAUAAAAUUGCCAGUUAAUGCUAUUGAAUUUUUAUUGUAUGGUGGGUUAUAAUUGGUCGAUGCAGUGGACGGGUUACGUGGGCCAGCCUAUUAGAGGGGGCACGGUAACCCUAUUAUAUUCAUACCUCAGUAUAAGAGGCACGUGUGGACAACUCCUGAGGUUAACACUUUAGAGUUCACUUAACGCCAAACCACCACGUGAGGGUGAACUCAGCCAACGCCAAAGAACGGCUAUGUUUUCAAAAUAAAAAUAAUAUUUAUGCGUACAUAACUUUUUAACAGCCUUGGCGGACUCAGUUGGGAUAGCCCUCGACCAAGGUAUCCCUGAUAACUGAGUAUGAGAAUGAUUUUGGCACAAGCCAAAGUUUUAAGAAAUUCAUAAGCCAUGUUGAUUACUCGAUUUAUAUGAAUUAAUUUUAUUUGGUUAAAACGAGUUGAAAGAUGAUAAAUUACAGUAUGAUGAUAUAUUUUAAUCUGUCUCCAUAUACUCAACUUUAGAUAUUUUAGAUGGUAUUUGUUUACUCACUGGAAUUAUAUAAUCUCACCACCCUCCUUUCCACCCAUUUUAGGCUCAGGAUAGUCAGUACAUAGCUCAUUUCGUUGAGGGUUACAGUUGGACUUGCAUCCUCAAAAAUUGUAGGUUCAUAGCCUUCAUUACUUUUGGUCGUUCGUGGGCCUACGUGUCAUUAGAAAUUUAAUUUUAUACUUUGGUUAUCUGUAUUAUAGUAUGUAUGAAUUUAUUUAGCUUUUACGCUAUAAAAAUUAUUUACCGAUAACUCUAUAAAUAUUGUUUUAUAAGAAAAAAAAAUAUUUUAUUGAAUAUUUUUAUUAUAUUCAAAUAGUUAUAAUUUUACUUUAAAUGAAUGUUUUAGACAUCUAAACUUAUUUUUUAUUAUGAAAUAUGUGUUUUCCAUUCGCAUACUACAUUUUUAGCUGGUUUCGAGAUUUUUAAGAAAAAAUGACCAAAAUGCCCCUGUGAGACAAAUUAUUUUUCUAUUGUUUUGAUUUGGAAAUAGUUUAUAAUCUCCCAAAACAUGAUAUUUAACAACUGUCGUUCACAGGGGAGGUGAGAAAAACUGAUAUAAAAGCCUUGCGAGGUUUCGGUCGGCAUUCUGGGCGAUGAAUGUCUAUCGAGACAUCGCGACGGUUGUCACGGGCUCGAGGGGAGUACCGGGUCAUGACAAUUAGAGUGGUAUCAGAGCUUUUGGUUUUAAAGAUUAGAGCUUUUGGGUUUAAAUUUGUUUUAAAGUUGUUUUAAAAUUUACAGUGUCAGUGUGACCCCGAGUUAAGUUAGGUUAGACUGAAUAUAAUGCAUGUAUUUACAUGUAGAGCCUGAGGUUGUUUAAACUUGCCUUAUUCCUUCUUAUAGAUUAUCAUGCCUCCUCAACGUAAACACCCACCUCUCACUAGAUCGGUUGGGAGGGGAAGAGGUAUUUCUUAACAUCGUCAGCUAGAUCCUAUAGAGGGGGAAUCAGCUGCGUCUACUAUUCGGGCAGCACCUGCUGCUAAGUAGACCGAGACUCCUCCACCUCCUCCGCCACCUACUGGUAUUCCUGUCAUGCCUUUUGAGGUGGCUCAAGCAUUGGCAGCCCUCUUUACCGCUAUUGCUGGCCAGGCUUAGGCUGGUCAAGCUCUUCCUACAAUUCCUCUAGCUGCUCCUUUAGUAACACCACCCCCACCUCCUAUCCCACCACCAGUGCUGGAUGUUUCUAAUUCUAAGAAGCUUAAAGAGGCUAGGUAACAUGGUUGCGUUUCUUUUAUGGGUGAGUUGGACGUAACCGUACCUAAAGAGGUGGUGCAAAUGGCUUUAAGAGCUGAGAAGCUUAUGAAAAUAAAAGAAUACGAGCUGAGUUAGCAAAAAGGAAAAAUUUGAGUGUAUCUUCUAGUCAGCCACCAAAAAGGGGCAAAGACUCAUCUGUUUUAAGAAGUCCUACUACUAUUUCAGUAACAUCUUCCCGACCUCCAUUUUCACAGACACAGUAGAGGCCUUCGAGAAUUAAUAAAUCUGCGAUGACUAUUUCUGGAAAGAGUUCCGAAGGUUCUGAUAGAUGCAAAAAUUGUGGGAGAUAUCAUGUCAGGUCGUGUAAAGGGCCUGUACGAUGUUUUUAUUGUGGUCAACUGGGUCACAUUAAGAGAGCUUGCCCACAGUUAGGACGGGCUACGGUAGUUGCUUCAUUUCCACCAGCUCGUAUGAAUAUGCAGAGGAGAGAUUCCUCUAUAUUACAAUCGAGACAGGGAUGAUUUUGACAUACCACCAAGGGUAGAUUAAAUAUGUUGAAAUUAAUGUUCUAAUAAAGUAGCUGUUUAAGUGACUGAAUGUAUAUGGGAAUCUUUUGGUAGGACAAAAGUGGAUUAGCAUUAUGGCUAUUAAGGAAAGAUAUUUAUCUUAAUGGCAAGGUUGAUCAUCUUAGAUAAUUAUUGAAGAUUGAUAUGGAAAGUCAUUAAUGAUUCAAGCAAUUAUCCAAAUUAACAAUGAAUAUAUUUUGCAGUACUAAGAAAUGGACACUGAUUAACGUGAUGAACUUUUGGAGUGAUAACCCUAGAUUUUGACGAGAUAUAAAAGGUCAUUUGAAUUGAUGAUGUUUGUUGGGAAUUAUUACUUAUCAUAGUAUGUGAGUUUUUGAUAUGAUUCCGAAUGCAAAGCUAAAUAAAUAAAAUUCUGGUAAUGGGACAAAUUGUAUCAGAGAAGAUGAUUCCCGAGUAAACACAUUGAACUAGGGGACUAUGUUGUAAUUGCACAGGAUAAUGGGAGACAGUGUGGUAAGACUAACAAUUAAUCAUGGAGAUGAGAAAUUGGGAAUCUUAAUUGUAGUUAUAAUUCGAAAAGAUAUGGAAGAAAUCAAUUAGGCUUUAGAUGACAUUUUGAGUGAUUAAUGUGAUAAAGUCAAAGAUUGUAAACUUGAGGGUGAAAGAAGUAUAAAAUAAUGCCAUAACAUUAUAGGAAGAUGAUUAAUAAUGGAUAAUGAAAAUAGUGGGAUACCAUAACUAAUAAGUAAUUAUGUGUAUGAUGAUGUAUAUAUUGUGAAUUCAUUACACCAUAUGGGAAAGAUGUCCUAAGGUGGGACUUGAAAUAUGUGGAUUUUUGGAUAUGCUCUAGAAGGGAACUUCUGCAUCCUAAAUUCAAAAUAUCUUGAUCUUAUAAUUGCAAGGACGAGAUGUAAUAAUUAAGUGAAUUAUCCAUUUUAUAAAUGUAAUUGGUUAGGAACCCUUUAUGGUUAGAAAGCACGAGCAAAUUGGGAGUGGCAUGAAGAUGAAACUCAUGAGUUGAAGAAUGAUCAUUGGUUUUGAUGCUAAACUUUGUUGUUUGGAGUCUUAAGUGCAUUGGGGAGGUAUUAAGAUAAAGAUGAUGAGUGAAAUUGUAGAGUUUCUUUAUUGCCUUAUAUAUUGGCAUGUAAGAGAAAGAAAAGUUAGAUGAAUGUAUGAGAUAUUGAUAAGAGAUGUCAAUACCAAGUGAUGAAAGUGUGAAUAAAGAUUUCAAGAAUGAUAUAGCAAAUGAGUUUAUAUAGAAUAUUGUUACGAGAAUUUACAAAUCUUGUCUUGACUUUGUUGAAAGGAAAGGAUUAGUGACAACACAAGUAAACUACGUGGUAUGCUAGAAACUCUUGGAGAUAAAUUGAAGCAUGAGUAGUUGGGCAUGCCUUUAUGGAAAUGAUAUGCUCAGAGUAUGAAAGAGCAAAUAAGUGAUUAAGUGUUUCAAGACUGUUUAAACGCCUUUGAGAAAGAAUUAUAAGUUAUACGUGAUGAGCAUAAGAUGCGUGACUUUGAAACUUGCUAAGGAGCCAAACGGCUAAGUCAUGGGUUAAGUGAUCACCUGCUGUGAGACAUAAGUUUAAGAUAGAUUCCCCAAGGAAAUACUCAAGAGAAGUUUUGCCAUGGAUCUCAUGAAAUCAAGCACUAAGUUAUGUGGUUAUAAAAAAGAAGCUGUAAGCUGAGAGUGAUAUUAGUAUUAAUAUUGAAAAAUACUUGAGGAGAAUCUAGUUUCAAAUCUUGUAAUUUCAAGUGCAAUUUAUAAAUUGGCAAAGGGAGAAUGAUGUUAUGUUCAUAUGAAAGAGUGGAACAAAGGCUGAUUGAAGUUGACCUUGAUAAUGAAGUCAGAUAAUGAAACUUUCUUAAUAUAUUAUGUAAAAUUGGAAUUCGAAAAUGCUUGAGGCAUACAUGAUUCAAAUGAGUCUGAGUUUUAAGUAACAAAUCAAUAUCGGAAUGCAAGAAGGAUACAAGGUAAUGUAGAGGCAUGAAGGAUAAUCGAGGAAAAAGGAUGACUCCUAGGAAUUGUGGUAUUGAAUAAGAUGCAAUGAUCAAGUUAAGAUAAAUCUUUGAGGCAUUAAUGGGAUUAUAAAGCAGACACGCAUAAUAGAUUAUAAUUCAAUGGAGAUGACAUUGUGAUGCAAUGAUAUAUAGUACAAGGAAACUUAAGCAUAUAAUUGGAAAUGAUAAGAAGAGAGUAUAAGUAUGUAAAUGAUGUGGAACUAUGCACAAGUAUGAUGAGAAUUUGUAUGAAUUAUGAAGAUUAUUCUAUUGAAUCUUGGUUAUGGAUGGGAAUGAACAAAGAAAAAUUAGUCUGAAGGUAUUUGAAAACAGAAACCCGUAUACUUAAUGAGGAAUAUGGACAUUUGAAUGUGCGUGUAUACGUGUGUGUCACGACCCGGUACUCCCCUCGAGCCCGUGACAACCGCCGCGGUGUCUCGAUAAACACUCAUUAUCCAAAAUGCCAACUGGAACCCCGCAAGGCUUUAAUAUCAGUUUCUCAUUUUCCCCUGUGAGUAAUCGUUGCCAAAUAUCAUGUUUUAAAAUAUUUUAAACUAUUUUCAACUUAAAACAAUAAAAAAAUGUUAAACAAAAUAUUCUAUUUUCUUAUAAAAUAAUAUUUUUAGAACACUGUGUAAAUAAUUUUACAGCGUAAAAGCAAAAUAAAUUCCUACAUACAGUAGUACAGAUAACUAGAGUAUGAAAUUUAAUUUAUAGUGACAUGUGGACCCCUAAAUGACAAAAAAUGAACGAAGGUUGCAAACCUACAGUUUUUGAGGAAGUAGAGCCAACUGUAGCCUUCGACAAUAUCAGCUAUCUACAGUCUAUACUGAGCCUAAAAUGGGUGGAAAGGUGGGUGGUGAGAUUAUAAAAUCCCAGUGAGUAAAUAGACAUCAUCAUAAACAUCUAGAGUUGAGUACAUGGAGAUGAUAAAGUAAAUCAUCGUAAACUGGGUCACAGCAUUAAAACACAUUUCAUUCAAAAUACAUAACGAGGCUUAUGAAUCUCAUAAAAACUAGGCUUGUGCCAUAAAUCCAUCCUCGGGGACACCUUGGUCGAGGCAUCUUACCGAGACCGCCAAGGCUGUUAAAAAUUCACAUUUCGUAUAAAACAAAUUUUUUGUUGGACAUCACAGCCGUUCCUUGGCGUUGGCUGAGUUCACCAUCACGUGGUGGUUUGGCGUGAAGUGAACUCAAAUAUCACCUCAUGAGCUACCCUACGCGCCCCUACAACUGAGGUGAGCACAUAUAAACGGGGUUACCGUGCCUCUCUCAUAGGCUGGUCCACGAAACCCGCAUAUUGCAGUAAGCUAAUAAUUAUCCCACCAAUCAAUAAAAUUCAAUAACAUGAUAUGGCAAUUAUUGUAAUUCACAGCCUUUCAAUGUAAACAAACAAUCCGUAUUUCAAUACAAUUGCCAACCAGCCAAUCAUGCCUAAUUUAUCAUAAGCCAAUCAAUUUAAACAAUCAAAUUGCAACAAAUAGCAGUCUCCGUGUACUCUAUUUUUUAAAAUCAUUAUUAAUUUCAAAACAAUUUAUAAAUUAAUUUCAUUGAAACACAUUUAUUCAUAAAACAUGAAAAUUUACCUUUUUAAAUCCAUUUUUCCAUAGAAUUCAUGAAAUCAUCUAAAAGCCACCCUAGAUAAUUAAAAUGACAGUAAGUUUACUCACAAUGUCUAGAGUGCAGAUUUUCGAAGUACUCUGACUACUGGUCCUCGAAUGCAAUUUCCUUGCCUUUAUCGGAGGACUCACCACCUUGACAUAGUACAAAAUUGAGAAACUUACUACAUUGGUACUAAAUUGAAAUUAAACUAAUUUAGACUACUGAUGCAUGAUAUGGAAUGCAAAAUACACGGGUAACCAUCUAAAUCCCGUAUUGGCCUAAUUCGUCUUAUCACCCGAUUAAUUGACCAACGCGUCCAAUUUAGCUCCAAAUUACUCCAUUUCUUUUCCAAUACCUUAAUUCACCAAACACAAGUCGAAUAAUCUAAAAUUUGGCAAAACCAUCUUCACUUUUCUUCUUAGAAUUUUCGAUCAAUAAUGGUGCAUUAACACCGUGAUUUUUCCUACUACUUUUCCACACCAUAAUUCAUCAUUUUCUAACCAAUUCUCUUAAAAUAAAAAAUCAAAUUCAUCCUCACUCAAUACAAGGUAGGUUCAGCCAUUGAUGGGUGAUGGGGAAAAUGAAUUCUUUUCUUGUUGUUUUGCUUCUAGACAUGGUAAACUAACUAAAAACACUAACAUAACUUGAAAUCAAAUCAAUCCAACAUCAUUCUCUCUCCAUACCCAUUCGGCUAGACAUGAAUUCACCAUGAAAACAUGAAAUUUAACCAUGAAAAAUAAGGAGAAAUGCUUAAGGAAAAUAGAUUUCAAGUUUAAAUUGAGAAAUCCUACCUUUUUCACUUGUUUUCCUUGAUUUUCCACACUUUUUCUCUUGAAAUUCUCCACCUAGGGUUUGUUCUUUCUUUGUUUCCCUCUUUUCCUUGCUUGGCCAAAUAUUUGGAGAGAAGUGAGAGGUUUAUAGGCUGAUUUUUUAAAGGAAAUAAUAAAAUAUUCUAAGCUUGACAAGUGUCAUUUUAUUAUUGGUCCAUUUUUAAAACUUUAAAAAUUUAAACUUUUUAUCUCCACCACAUAUAUUUUCUACUUAUCCAUAACAUAAAAAGUCAAUGGAUGAAUUCUAUGAGCAUGACAAGUGUUGGGUGUGUAAAAUUACCAUUUUGCCCCUAGAGUGGCAAAAUGACUAUUUUGCCCCUAUCCUCGAAAAAACACCGAAAUUAAAGUUCUUCACUUCUCAAACUCAAAUUAUACUACAAAUGAUCAAUCUUAGUUAAAAAUUUCAUCUAACUCUCACAUCUUAACCUCGGGUGGUGAAAUGACCAUUUUACCCCCGGAUCAUGAAGAUUCUAAUUUGACUCCAAAUCGGUCCUCGAACUCCGAAUCACCAUUUUAAGUUAUUCUGAGAAUUUAAAAUUUUAAAUUUCACCUUAAAAUCUUCAUUUGAUGUAGUUCGAGGCUUAAUUCAACUUAGUUGUACUAUUAAGUACACUACCGACUUUUUACGAUUUUUCAGGGCUUUUCUAGUAUGCAAGCAUAUUGCCAAUCACAUGAAUGACAUAGCAAGUAUUUUAUAGAGUCAGGCUUGAUAGUGUGUGUGGAGUUAGUGAUGUACCCAACUAAAAUGAAGAAUGGUUUCAAUGGUUCAAGAUUUGAACUCAAUCUUAUCAGAAGUCGAUUUAUGGCAACCUAAGGAAUUUUGGGGAAAUAGUUAAGGGAAUGUAAUCUAUAAUGCGAUUAUGCCAUAUGAGAUGGAUUAAUAAGAUUAAGAAGAUUGGAAUUUCCUAAAUGCAAGGUAAACAUGAAGUAUGUGGAAAUAAUUGAAGCCAUUAAUCUUCCCUAACGCUGAGGAUAUGUAUAGGAAUAAGUAUGGCAUGUUAAUGAUACUGUAAACUACACAAUAUUGUAUGAAGAUGGAAUGAAUGAAUGAAAGUCGAGAAAUUUGAUAUGGAAUGAAGUAAUAAGAUAGUGAUUGGUAUACAUAAAUAAGUAUAAAAUGCGAUCGAAAUUGGUAUGAUUGAGAUGGAGUUAUGGUUCAAGUUUCAUGAUAGUAAUAGAAGCAUGCUUGGUGUCUCGAUAUAAAAGAUCAUAAUUGUAAAGGUUAUUGUUGAUCUGAUUUUAAAGGAUAAUAAUAGACAUAAGUGAAGUACUCGAGUUGAAUUAGAGGUAAAUGAGGUGAACAAAUCGAAAUUCCCUACAAAGGGGAGGACAUAAGAAGUCGAGCAUUAGAUGAGAAAACAAUACCCUCACCUUUUCUUUGAGUUCAGUAAAUGAAAUUUUGAGGUCAAAAUUUUAUUUUAAGGGGGGUAGUGCUGUCAAGCCCAGCUCGACAAUAUGUUUAUUAUGCCAUUCCUACAUAAGAAUGCAUUAUUACUUACUUGAGUACCUUGAAAAUCGUUAAAGGACGAUAUUGUACCAAAUGGUACAAUUAAGUUGAAUUAAGCCUCGAACUAGUCCAAAUAGAGAUUUUAAGAUGAAAUUGAGAAUUUUAAAACCCAAAAAUGACUUAAAAUGGUUAUUUAGAGUUCGAGGACUGAUUUGGAGUCAAAUUGAAAUUUUCAUAAUUUAAGGGCAAAAUGGUCAUUUUGCCACUCGAGGUUAAAAUUGGAAUGUUGGAAGAAGUUUUUGAUCAAGAUUGACUAUUUAGAACAUAAUUUGAAUUUGAUAAGUGAAAAAUUUUAAUUCUGGCAUUUUUUUUAGCAUAAGGGUAAAAUAGUCAUUUUGCCACCCAAGGGGUAAAAUUGUAAUUUUACACCACCCAACACUUGUCCAGCACAUGGAUUUUACCCAAUCUUAUGAUGAAUAAUUGAGGAAAUUUAAGUGAUGAAGAGAAAUUACUUAAUGGGUAAGUAUGACACAUGGACCAAUGGUAAGGUGACAUGUGUCAAAUUUUUAACCAUUUAUUAUUUUCCUUAUAAAUCAGCACAAAAUCAGCCCAUUUCUCAUUCAUAUGGCCAGCCAAAGCAAGAACAAAAGAAGAAAAGGAAAAACAAAACCCUAGGUGAAAAAUUCAAGGGAAAAGUGUGAAAAUUCAAGGAAACAAGUGAAAAAAAGGUAAAAUUUUUCAAUUAAGCUUGAGAUCUCUCUUUCUUAAGCAUUUUUCUUAUUUUCCAUGAUUGAAUCACAUGAUUUCAUGAUGGGUAUCUUGCUGGCUGAACACUUAGAGAGAGGUUUUGAUGCUUGAUUUGGUUAGAUUUUAAUGUAUUUUAGUGUUUUUAGUUGAUUGAUGAUGUGUAGCAUGAAAAUCAAGUAAGAAAAAUUCAUGUUCUUCCAUCACCCAUCAUUGGCCGAAUUCUCCAUGUGGAAUAUUGAGGAUGAUUUUGAUUUUAUUUCAAGUGAUUUGGUUAGGAAUUAGUGAUUUAGGGUGUGAGAAUCAAGUAGGAAAAAUUAUAGUGUUGAUGCAACCACCGUGGCCGAAUUUUCCAAGAGAAAAUGUGAGGAUGAUUUUGCCAUAUUUCAAGUUGUUUAAUUUGUGUUUGAUGGUUUAGAGAAUUGGAAGAAAAAUGGAAUUAUUUGGAGUUGAAUUGGACGUAUUGGCCAAUUAAUCGGGUGAUAGAUCGAAUUAGGCCAAUACCGUUUUAUUUAGGUACACAAUUGAAUUUAUGUAGAACACCGUGUUUAGACGAUAAUCCGAACAAUUUACAUCCCAUUUCAUGCAUUAGUAUAAAGCUUGAAUUGGUUUUAUAACAAUUUAGCACAAAUGUAGUAAAUGGCUUAUUGUGCAUUAUGUUUAGGUGGUGAGUAUUUUGGUCAAAGUAAAGAGAUAGUACCCGAGGAUCAAGAAUCGGAGCACUCGAAAUUUGACUCCCAAAAUAGUGAGUAACCUUACUAUCAUCUUAAUUAUCUAAAGUGGUUUUUAUUCGAUUUUAUGAUUUUAUGGAAAAUGAGUUUAAAUGGUUAAUUUUUAGGUUUUAUAAACAAAAUGUGUUUAAAUGAAAUGAUUUUAUAAAUUGUCUUGAAAUUGAAUGAUGGCUUUGAAAAUAGAGUAAUUGGAGACCAUUUGAUGUAUUGUGAAUUUAUGGUUCUAAUUGAUUGGCUUAUGGCAAUAUUGGCAUGAAUGGNGGCUUAUGGCAACAUUGGCAUGAAUGGCUGAAUUGGUAUUUGUGUUGAAAAUGCAUAACUGUUGUUUGCCUUGAUAGGCUGGAUUGUGAUAAUAUUGCCAUGUCAUGAUAUUGAAUUUUUAUUGUAUGGUGGGUUAUAAUUAGUCGCUGUAGUGGACGAGUUUCGUGGACCAGCCUAUUAGAGGGGGCAUGGUAACCCUAAUAUAUUCAUACCUCAGUAUGAGAGGCACAGAUGGAUAACUCCUGAGGUUAACACUUUAGAGUUCACUUCACGCCAAACCACCACGUGAGGGUGAAUUCAGCCAACGCCAAGGAACGGCUAUGUUUUCAAAAAAAAAACAUGAUUUAUGCGUUCAUAACUUUUUAAUAGCCUUGGCGGACUCAGUUGGGAUAGCCCUCGGCCAAGGUAUCCCUGAUAAGUGAGUAUGAGAAUGGUUUUGGCACAAGCCAAAGUUUUAAGAAAUUCAUAAGCCAUGUUGAUUACUCUAUUUAUAUGAAUUGAUUUUAUUUGGUUAAAAUGAGUCGAAAGGUGAUAAAUUACAAUAUGAUGAUCUAUUUUAAUCUGUCUCCAUUUACUCAGCUUUAGAUAUUUUAGAUGGUAUUUGUUUACUCACUGAGAUUAUAUAAUCUCACCACCCUCCUUUCUACCCAUUUCAAGCUCAGGAUAGUCGGUGGAUAGCUCAUUUCGUUGAGGGCUACAGUUGGACUUGCAUCCUCAAAAACUGUAGGUUCAUAGCCUUCAUUACUUUUGGUCGUUCAUAGGGCUAUGUGUCACUGUAAAUUAAAUUUUAUACUUUGGUUAUCUGUAUUACAGUAUGUAUGAAUUUAUUUAACUUUUAUGCUACAAAAAUUAUUUAUCGGUAACUUUAUAAAUAUUAUUUUAUAAGAAAAUAGAAUAUUUUAU